rnacentral:lncRNA from 1 species
ACACUCACCUUACUUGAGGCCUUCCAUUGCCUCGCCCAUAUAGCCUAAUUCGUCUUUCGAUCUUAUGAAUGAAGCGGGUAGCAUGCUACCUCUUUCUAAAAAAAAAGUAAAAUUUCUUUUUAUUUUUGAUAAGAGAAAGGUGGUGAGUUUUUUGCUUCAUUCAUUUUGAAAAUGAAGGAAGAUAAAAAUAUAAAGUAAUAAGGUUUUGAACUUAGGGCCCUAGUGUCAGGGACUUAGAAAAAUUUCUAUGCAGCCUGGUCCCUGGCCCAAAUCUGCUUAGCGAGUUCGGGUUGAAGACGGGUCGAAUCGGGUUGUCAAGGAGGCCCAAACCCAACCCGCUGUGGGAAACUCAAGGGUUAGGAAACUCAUGAGAGUUAUGGGUGAUUCUUGAGCUUUUGACAUUUAUGAGGGCUCAUUAUGAGGAUUCAUUAUGUAUGUAGUGGGUGAGUUGAAAAGGCUCAUUAGGCCUAUAAAUAGUGGGGUUGGCUAAGGCCAUGACACACAAGAGAGAGUGUGUUUGUAUGCUGUUUGUAGGUUGUAAUUCUCAUUUUUAAGUAGUGUAGUACUUAAUUUUUUUUUGAGAGAACCUCUACCUCUUUCUCUUUGUCAUUUCCCUUUGCAUACUUAGUCGUAGGACGCGAAGGUCCGGGCUAGCAACAGGGACAAAGGCUUGUCCAUCUUCGAGCAGGAAAGGUGGGCGCAGCACGGGCUUUGCGAACGAAAACACUAAGUUCGUGACAGUUGGUAUCAGAGCCGGUUCGAGCGAGGAACCAUGUCGUCAUCCGAUGCGGGAAUCGUCGACGUUAGGGGCGACCCUCCAAAGCAGCCCUCCAAGCGAAGCAAGAGCAAAGACCCUCAGCGAAUCAUGAGGAAUUCGGCGUCAUUGGAGGACCGCCUUGUGCUGUUGGAGGACAUCAUCGCGAAAAUGGGUAAAAGGUACAUCGAGAUGGCGGAUACCUUUAACUCAUUCAACGAAGAUGUCCACAGCAUGGAGGAAAGUGUCGCUACAGCCAUGGAGACAUUUCGAAGCGAUCUCGAAAAGCUCCAAGCCAACAUGAAGAAUCGUGACGAGGAGCGAAAGAAACUGAUCGAGGAGCUUGUUGCUCGAGUCGACGAGGUCGAGGACCUCAAGACAAGAGUAACGAUCCUUGAGAAAGCGGUGGCGCGUGGCCACGAACCCCAACGAGAGUCCGCUUCGAAGGUACGUAUCCCUGAGCCUCAAAAUUUCAGGGGAACCCGCGACGAGAAGGAGAUCGACAACUUUCUGUGGCACAUGGAGCGCUACUUCAAGGCGUUGCGGCUGGACGACGAAGAUGAGAAAGUCCAGGCUGCAUCCAUGUACCUUGCUGAUGACGCGAUGCUGUGGUGGCGUCGGCGUUCUGCAGAAGCCGAGAAGGGCCAAUGCAACUUGAAGACGUGGGAGGACUUCGUGCGCGAGCUCAAGGCGCAGUUCUACCCCGAGCACGUCGAGUACCUUGCGAGGAAGCAACUUCGACGGCUCAAACACACCGGGACGCUCAAGGAGUAUGUCAAGGAAUACUCCAAGUUGAUGCUGUCCAUCACCAACAUGGCGGAGGAAGAUCGCUUAUUCUUCUUCCUCGACGGACUCCAACCUUGGGCGAACAAGGAGCUUGUGGGACGCGACGUCAAGGACGUUGCCUCCGCAAUUGCCUUGGCGGAAAAACUGCCCGAGUACGAGCGGGCGGAUUCAACUCGCAGCAAGACGCCCAAAGCGAGCAAGGCUAAAGGUGGAGGAGACCGUCGCGACCAGAAGGAGCGCAGGGGCCGCGAGAGGGGUCCUGUGCCGUCGCUAAAGAAAUUGACGUGCUACGUCUGCGGCGAGAACCAUUGGGCGAGGGACUGCCCAAACAAGAAGAAGCUGAAUGCUGUCGAGACCGAGCAGGGCGAGGGCAGUGCAGAACCGACGAAGAUGGGCGCGCUUAGGCUCGUCAACGCGGUUCAGGGGUUGGCAAGCAGCAGCAAGCCCCUUAACAAAGAGCUUCUGUACAUCGAUGUGACCCUUAACAGCAGGGCCACACGAGCAUUGGUGGACACGGGAGUCACUCACAACUUUGUUGCCGAAGUGGAGGCCAAACAGAUAGGCCUUCCCCUUGAGAAGGAUGCUAGCAGGAUCAAGGCCGUCAACUCUGAGGCGCAACCUGUUGCGGGCGUGGCCAAGGGCGUGGCCAUUGCGGUGGGACCUUGGAGAGGCACCGCAAACUUCACCGCCGCACCCAUCGACGACUUCCAAGUCAUACUAGGUAUAGACUUCUUGACUUCGUCGAAGACGGUUCCGAUGCCACACCUUGGGGCCUUAAGCAUCAUGGACGAGGCGGCCCCAUGCAUGAUCCUAGCAAUCCAGGAGAAAACGGUAAGCACCCAAACCUUCUCUGCGUUGCAGUUGCGAAGGGGUGUACAGUGACGAGAUGACUUACCUUGCGGCCAUCCGCGAGGUGAGCGACGAGGGCCUCGACGAGGAGGGCCUUCCUGCGGAGAUUGGAGCGGUCUUGGUAGAUUUCCACGAUGUCAUGCCAAAGGAGCUGCCGAAGCAACUUCCACCUAGGCGGGAGGUGGAUCAUGCCAUUGAGCUCGAGCCAGGAGCCAAACCGCCAGCGAAAGCGCCAUAUAGAAUGGCCCCGCCAGAGCUCGAGGAGUUGCAAAAGCAGUUAAAGGAGCUCCUCGAUGCAGGCUUCAUCCGACCGUCGAAGGAACCUUAUGGAGCACCAGUUUUGUUCCAGCGCAAGAGCGACGGAAGCCUGCGGCUUUGUAUCGAUUACAGAGCGCUCAACAAGGUAACGGUCAAAAACAAAUACCCUAUUCCUUUGGUUGCAGAUCUCUUCGACCAAUUGGGCGGAGCGAAGUACUUCACCAAACUCGACCUUCGCUCUGGGUAUUAUCAAGUGCGGAUUGUGGAAGGAGACGAGGAGAAGACCACGUGCGUGACGAGGUACGGGGCCUAUGAGUUCCUUGUCAUGCCGUUCGGCUUGACGAACGCGCCAGCAACCUUCUGCACACUUAUGAACAAGCUGUUCCAUCCCUAUCUCGAUCGCUUUGUGGUGGUGUACCUCGACGACAUCGUGGUAUAUAGCAACACCUUGGAGGAGCACAUCGAGCACUUGCGAACCGUCUUCCAAGUGCUGCGGGAGAACCAGCUGUUCGUCAAGAAGGAGAAGUGCAUAUUCGCGAAGGAAGAGGUGCACUUCCUUGGCCACUGGAUAGGCCAGGGCCUGAUUCGCAUGGACCAGCGGAAGGUGCGAGCCAUCUGCGAAUGGGAGACCCCAACGACAGUGUCCGAGUUGCAGUCUUUCCUUGGGCUCGUCAACUACUACCGCCGAUUCAUUCCUGGCUACUCUGCGAGAGCAGCCUCGUUGACGGAUCUGCUGAGGAAAAACCACUCGUGGGUUUGGACCUCUCAAUGCGCGGAGGCAUUCGAGGACCUAAAGCGAGCGGUGACGGAGGAUCCAGUGCUGCGACUAUCCGACUGCAGUCGCACCUUUGAGGUACAUACUGAUGCCUCUGACUUUGCCAUUGGCGGUGUCCUCGUGCAGGAUGGGCACCCUAUCGCCUAUGAGAGCCGCAAGCUCAACGACACCGAGCGGCAUUACACCGUCCAGGAGAAGGAAAUGAUCGUUGUGGUGCAUUGCUUGCGAACCUGGCGGCAGUAUUUGCUUGGGAGCAAGUUUGUGGUGCGCACCGACAACGUUGCCACAAGCUACUUCCAAUCGCAAAAGAAGCUGUCGCCUAAACAGGCGAGGUGGCAGGACUUCUUGGCGGAGUUCGACAUGGAGAUGCAAUACAAGCCCGGGAAGGAAAACCGCGUGGCUGAUACUCUCAGCCGCAAGGCUGAGCUUGCAGCCGUGUGGCAACUUCAAGGGACGCUCCGUGAUCGACUUCGUUCAGGAAUCAACGAGGACCCUAUCGCUCAAAAUCUGGUGCAGCUUGUCAAGGAGGGCAAAACGCGAAGGUUUUGGCUGAGCGACAGGCUGCUCCUCACCAAGGGGCGACGGGUGUACGUGCCCAAGUGGGGCAACCUUCGCCGCGAGCUCAUCAAGGAGUGCCAUGACUCCAAGUGGGUGGGCCACCCAGGUCAGAAGCGAACCCUGGCGUUGCUCGGCGCCGCCUACUUUUGGCCGCAGAUGCACGAAGACGUGGAGGCCUACGUGCGAACCUGCUUGGUGUGUCAACAAGACAAAGUUGAGCACCAGCGACCUGGCGGACUCCUCGAGCCUUUACCUGUGCCUAGCCGUCCGUGGGAGAGUAUUUCUAUGGACUUCAUCUUCGCCUUGCCAAAGGUGGGGGUGCUUGGGUCCAUUUUGGUGGUGGUUGAUCGUUUUUCAAGUACGGGACCUUCAUUGCUGCGCCGGCCGAUUGCACGGCUGAAGAAGCGGCACGCCUCUUCGUCAGCCACAUCGUCAAGCUUUGGGGGAUCCCUAUGAGCAUCGUGAGCGACCGCGACCCCAGGUUCACUGGCAAGUUUUGGACAGAGGUGUUCAAAAUCUUAGGGUCGGAGUUGCUCUUCUGCACCAGUUGGCAUCCACAGACCGACGGGCAAACUGAGCGGGUGAACGCUCUGUUAGAGGAGUAUUUGCGGCACUAUGUGAGUGCCAAUCAGAAGGAUUGGGUGCAUCAUCUCGAUGUCGCCCAGUUUGCUUACAACUUGCGGCGCAGCGAGUCUACGGGCUGCAGCCUUUUCGAGUUGGCGAUCGGGCGACAACCACUUGCCCCUCACACGGUUGCUGCGGGAGAGCAGUUCCGCAGCCCAGUUGCUCUUCAGUUUACCACUAACUUGCAGGAAAAGGGUGAAAUCGCAAGGGCAAACUUGGAGAAAGCAGCACGACGGAUGAAGAAGUGGGCUGACGAAAAGCGACACCUCGGGAGUUUGCCGAGGGCGACCGUGUGAUGGUCAAGCUUCAUCCGCAGCAGUUCAAAGCCUUGCGGAAGGUGCACAAGAGACUGCUGUGCAAGUAUGAAGGCCCAUAUACCGUCGUCAAGCGUGUGGGCAAGGGGCUGCCCGCAAACCUCAGGAUCCACCCUGUUUUUCAUGUCAGCAGGUUGAAGCUGUACAACGAAGACGCGGAGGAUCCGAGCAGAGGAGUGUCGCAGCGAGCGCCUCCGACCAUGGUGACUUCGUUCGACAAAGAAGCGGAGUCCAUCCUGGACACUCGACUCAUUCGGCGACGUGGGGUCGUGCCGAAUCCUGAGUACUUGGUGAAGUGGAAGAAUCUCCCAUUCGGCUAGGCUAGUUGGGAGAAGGCGGACACACUUUGGCAGUACCAAGCGCUCAUCGAAGAGUUCCAGAAGCAGCGCGCGACGAGAACGCCUGCGCAUUAGGUGGAGGAGGGUGUCAGGGACUUAGAAAAAUUUCUAUGCAGCCCGGUCCCUGGCCCAAAUCUGCUUAGCGAGUUCGGAUUGAAGACGGGUCGAAUUGGGUUGUCAAGGAGGCCCAAACCCAACCCGCUGUGGGAAACUCAAGGGUUAGGAAACUCAUGGGAGUUAUGGGUGACUCUUGAGCUUUUGGCAUUUAUGAGGGCUCAUUAUGAGGAUUCAUUAUGUAUAUAGUGGGUGAGUUGAAAAGGCUCAUUAGGCCUAUAAAUAGUGAGGUUGGCUAAGGCCAUGAUACACAAGAGAGAGUGUGUUUGUAUGCUAUUUGUAGGUUGUAAUUCUCAUUUUUAAGUAGUGUAGUACUUAGUUUUUUUUUGAGAGAACCUCUGCCUCUUUCUCUUUGUCAUUUCCCUUUGCAUACUUAGUCGUAGGACGCGAAGGUCCGGGCUAGCAACAGGGACAAAGGCUUGUCCAUCUUCGAGCAGGAAAGGUGGGCGCCGCACGGGCUUUGCGAACGAAAACGCUAAGUCCGUGACAC